ACGAACGCUGGCGGCGUGCUUCACACAUGCAAGUCGAACGGAAAGGCCCUGCUUUUGUGGGGUGCUCGAGUGGCGAACGGGUGAGUAACACGUGAGUAACCUGCCCUUGACUUUGGGAUAACUUCAGGAAACUGGGGCUAAUACCGGAUAGGAGCUCCUGCUGCAUGGUGGGGGUUGGAAAGUUUCGGCGGUUGGGGAUGGACUCGCGGCUUAUCAGCUUGUUGGUGGGGUAGUGGCUUACCAAGGCUUUGACGGGUAGCCGGCCUGAGAGGGUGACCGGCCACAUUGGGACUGAGAUACGGCCCAGACUCCUACGGGAGGCAGCAGUGGGGAAUAUUGCACAAUGGGCGGAAGCCUGAUGCAGCAACGCCGCGUGCGGGAUGACGGCCUUCGGGUUGUAAACCGCUUUCGCCUGUGACGAAGCGUGAGUGACGGUAAUGGGUAAAGAAGCACCGGCUAACUAUGUG
rnacentral:rRNA from 1 species